GUUGAGCUUCGCCUUCUAAGUUCUUAUAGAGGUCUGGUUCGGUUGGCGUAUCAGCUCAAAUUCUUUCUCUCUUUCAGAUCUACGCUGCCGAUUUCAUCAGAGAUGGAGACCUUUCUAUUUACCUCUGAAUCUGUAAAUGAGGGUCACCCCGACAAGCUCUGUGACCAGAUCUCCGAUGCGGUGCUCGACGCCUGCCUAGCUCAGGACCCUGACAGCAAGGUCGCAUGUGAGACCUGCAGCAAGACCAACAUGGUCG
rnacentral:misc_RNA from 1 species